rnacentral:rRNA from 1 species
UACGGAGGAUUCGAGCGUUAUCCGGAUUUAUUGGGUUUAAAGGGAACGCAGGCGGACUGGUAAGUAAGAUGUGAAAGCUAACGGCUGAACCGUGAAAUUGCAGUUGAUACUGUUGGUCUUGAGUAUACAUGAGGUGGGCGGAAUUUGUGGUGUAGCGGUGAAAUGCUUAGAUAUCACAAAGAACUCCAAUUGCGAUGUAAGCUCACUGGGGUAAAACUGACGCUGAUGCACGAAGGUGUGGGUAUCAAACAUU